UACGUAGGGGCUAGCGUUGUCCGGAAUCAUUGGGGCGUAAAGAGCGUGUAGCGGCCCGAGUAAGUCCGGCUGUAAAAGUCAACGGCUCAACUGUUGAAACGCCAGGUGGAUACUGUCGGGCUAGAGUCCGGAAGAGGCGGAGUGGAACUCCUGGUGUAGCGGUUGGGAAUGCGCAGAUAUCAGGAAGAACACCAACGGCGAAGGCAGCUCGGCUAGGACGGUACUGACGCUGAGACGCGAAAGCGGUGGGGAGC
rnacentral:rRNA from 1 species